AUUGAACGCUGGCGGCAGGCCUAACACAUGCAAGUCGAGCGGAUGAAGAGAGCUUGCUCUCUGAUUUAGCGGCGGACGGGUGAGUAAUGCCUAGGAAUCUGCCUGGUAGUGGGGGAUAACGUUCCGAAAGGAACGCUAAUACCGCAUACGUCCUACGGGAGAAAGCAGGGGACCUUCGGGCCUUGCGCUAUCAGAUGAGCCUAGGUCGGAUUAGCUAGUUGGGGAGGUAAUGGCUCACCAAGGCUAUGAUCCGUAAAUGGUCUGAGAGGAUGAUCAGUCACACUGGAACUGAGACACGGUCCAGACUCCUACGGGAGGCAGCAGUGGGGAAUAUUGGACAAUGGGCGAAAGCCUGAUCCAGCCAUGCCGCGUGUGUGAAGAAGGUCUUCGGAUUGUAAAGCACUUUAAGUUGGGAGGAAGGGCAGUAAGUUAAUACCUUGCUGUUUUGACGUUACCGACAGAAUAAGCACCGGCUAACUUCGUGCCAGCAGCCGCCGUAAUAC
rnacentral:rRNA from 1 species